UACGUAGGGGGCAAGCGUUGUCCGGAAUCAUUGGGCGUAAAGAGCGUGUAGGCGGCCAGAUAAGUCUGCUGUGAAAACUCGAGGCUCAACUUCGAGCUGUCGGUGGAAACUAUUUGGCUAGAGUCCGGAAGAGGAGAGUGGAAUUCCUGGUGUAGCGGUGAAAUGCGCAGAUAUCAGGAAGAACACCCGUGGCGAAGGCGGCUCUCUGGUACGGAACUGACGCUGAGACGCGAAAGCGUGGGGAGCGAACAGG
rnacentral:rRNA from 1 species